rnacentral:rRNA from 2 species
AAGUCUGAUGUGAAAGCUUCGGCUUUUACCCGGAGAAGUGCAUCGGAAACUGGGAGACUUGAGUGCAGAAGAGGACAGUGGAACUCCAUGUGUAGCGGUGGAAUGCGUAGAUAUAUGGAAGAACACCAGUGGCGAAGGCGGCUGUCUAGUCUGUAACUGACGCUGAGGCUCGAAAGCAUGGGUAGCGAACAGGAUUAGAUACCCUGGUAGUCCAUGCCGUAAACGAUGAGUGCUAAGUGUUGGAGGGUUUCCGCCCUUCAGUGCUGCAGCUAACGCAUUAAGCACUCCGCCUGGGGAGUACGACCGCAAGGUUGAAACUCAAAGGAAUUGACGGGGGCCCGCACAAGCGGUGGAGCAUGUGGUUUAAUUCGAAGCUACGCGAAGAACCUUACCAGGUCUUGACAUCUUCUGCCAAUCUUAGAGAUAAGACGUUCCCUUCGGGGACAGAAUGACAGGUGGUGCAUGGUUGUCGUCAGCUCGUGUCGUGAGAUGUUGGGUUAAGUCCCGCAACGAGCGCAACCCUUAUUAUCAGUUGCCAGCAUUCAGUUGGGCACUCUGGUGAGACUGCCGGUGACAAACCGGAGGAAGGUGGGGAUGACGUCAAAUCAUCAUGCCCCUUAUGACCUGGGCUACACACGUGCUACAAUGGACGGUACAACGAGUUGCGAAGUCGUGAGGCUAAGCUAAUCUCUUAAAGCCGUUCUCAGUUCGGAUUGUAGGCUGCAACUCGCCUACAUGAAGUUGGAAUCGCUAGUAAUCGCGGAUCAGCAUGCCGCGGUGAAUACGUUCCCGGGCCUUGUACACACCGCCCGUCACACCAUGAGAGUUUGUAACACCCAAAGCCGGUGAGAUAACCUUCGGGAGUCAGCCGUCUAAGGUGGGACAGAUGUUAGGGGAAGUCUACAGUGCGCCC